rnacentral:misc_RNA from 1 species
ACCUACUGUUUAAUUUUGAGGGUUCGUUUUUACGAAUACUCAAAAUUAGCACUUUAAGCAACGGGAUUUAUCCGUUGGCGCUGUGCUUUAGCACUUUGAAAACUGCAUAUAUAUUUAGUGAUAUGACAUCUAAUUUGUAAUAUAUAAAGUUGAUAACUUUUUAAAAUUAUCGAAGUUGAUAGCUUCUAAUCUAUCAAACCUUUUUAACUGGUCAA